rnacentral:rRNA from 2 species
AGAGUUUGAUCAUGGCUCAGAUUGAACGCUGGCGGCAGGCCUAACACAUGCAAGUCGAACGGUAACAGGAAGCAGCUUGCUGCUUCGCUGACGAGUGGCGGACGGGUGAGUAAUGUCUGGGAAACUGCCUGAUGGAGGGGGAUAACUACUGGAAACGGUGGCUAAUACCGCAUAACGUCGCAAGACCAAAGAGGGGGACCUUCGGGCCUCUUGCCAUCAGAUGUGCCCAGAUGGGAUUAGCUUGUUGGUGAGGUAACGGCUCACCAAGGCGACGAUCCCUAGCUGGUCUGAGAGGAUGACCAGCCACACUGGAACUGAGACACGGUCCAGACUCCUACGGGAGGCAGCAGUGGGGAAUAUUGCACAAUGGGCGCAAGCCUGAUGCAGCCAUGCCGCGUGUAUGAAGAAGGCCUUCGGGUUGUAAAGUACUUUCAGCGGGGAGGAAGGUGUUGUGGUUAAUAACCGCAGCAAUUGACGUUACCCGCAGAAGAAGCACCGGCUAACUCCGUGCCAGCAGCCGCGGUAAUACGGAGGGUGCAAGCGUUAAUCGGAAUUACUGGGCGUAAAGCGCACGCAGGCGGUCUGUCAAGUCGGAUGUGAAAUCCCCGGGCUCAACCUGGGAACUGCAUUCGAAACUGGCAGGCUUGAGUCUUGUAGAGGGGGGUAGAAUUCCAGGUGUAGCGGUGAAAUGCGUAGAGAUCUGGAGGAAUACCGGUGGCGAAGGCGGCCCCCUGGACAAAGACUGACGCUCAGGUGCGAAAGCGUGGGGAGCAAACAGGAUUAGAUACCCUGGUAGUCCACGCCGUAAACGAUGUCUACUUGGAGGUUGUGCCCUUGAGGCGUGGCUUCCGGAGCUAACGCGUUAAGUAGACCGCCUGGGGAGUACGGCCGCAAGGUUAAAACUCAAAUGAAUUGACGGGGGCCCGCACAAGCGGUGGAGCAUGUGGUUUAAUUCGAUGCAACGCGAAGAACCUUACCUGGUCUUGACAUCCACGGAAGGUCUCAGAGAUGAGACUGUGCCUUCGGGAACCGUGAGACAGGUGCUGCAUGGCUGUCGUCAGCUCGUGUUGUGAAAUGUUGGGUUAAGUCCCGCAACGAGCGCAACCCUUAUCCUUUGUUGCCAGCGGUCCGGCCGGGAACUCAAAGGAGACUGCCAGUGAUAAACUGGAGGAAGGUGGGGAUGACGUCAAGUCAUCAUGGCCCUUACGACCAGGGCUACACACGUGCUACAAUGGCGCAUACAAAGAGAAGCGACCUCGCGAGAGCAAGCGGACCUCAUAAAGUGCGUCGUAGUCCGGAUUGGAGUCUGCAACUCGACUCCAUGAAGUCGGAAUCGCUAGUAAUCGUGGAUCAGAAUGCCACGGUGAAUACGUUCCCGGGCCUUGUACACACCGCCCGUCACACCAUGGGAGUGGGUUGCAAAAGAAGUAGGUAGCUUAACCUUCGGGAGGGCGCUUACCACUUUGUGAUUCAUGACUGGGGUGAAGUCGUAACAAGGUAACCGUAGGGGAACCUGCGGUUGGAUCACCU